rnacentral:tRNA from 1 species
GCAGGUGUGGUAUAAUGGCUAUUACCUCAGCCUUCCAAGCUGAAGAUACGGGUUCGAUCCCCGUCACCUGCUCCA